rnacentral:rRNA from 1 species
UACGGGGGGAGCAAGCGUUGUUCGGAUUUACUGGGCGUAAAGGGCGCGUAGGCGGUCAGCACAAGUCAGUUGUGAAAUCUCCGGGCUUAACCCGGAAAGGUCAGCCGAUACUGCGGGGCUAGAGUGCAGAAGGGGCAACUGGAAUUCUCGGUGUAGCGGUGAAAUGCGUAGAUAUCGAGAGGAACACCUGCGGCGAAGGCGGGUUGCUGGGCUGACACUGACGCUGAGGAGCGAAAGCGUGGGUAGCGAACAGG